rnacentral:rRNA from 1 species
GACGAAGGGGGCAAGCGUUGUUCGGAAUUACUGGGCGUAAAGCGCGUGUAGGUUGUCAUUCUAGUCAGGCGUGAAAGCCUCGAGCUCAACUCGAGAAAUGCGCUUGAUACUGGAUGACUAGAGGGCCGGAGAGGAUAGUGGAAUUCCCAGUGUAGCGGUGAAAUGCGUAGAUACUGGGAGGAACACCAGUGGCGAAGGCGGCUACCUGGACCGGUUCUGACGCUGAGGCGCGAAAGCGUGGGUAGCAAACAGG